rnacentral:lncRNA from 10 species
AUUGUUAGGCACCAGCUCAAGCAAUCAGGCUUUCUUUGUAUUAGCUGAAAAACAAGGAAAUCGCACAUCCACGCCUAACUGCCUCACACCUGUGCUUGCAAAAGUGGCAGAAGCACUGAGCAUCUUGUGACUAAUCUGGAAAAUUGUCUACUUCAAGCAAAGUGACUUUCAGUGUUUCAGUCAAUGCCACCACCAUAUCCAGAGGCAACCACUGUUCUGAAAUUCUUCCAUCAUAGUUUAGUUUAUUCUGCUCUAGAGGGUAUAUAAAUGGAAUCACAAGGCCGAAGGUGCAGCUCUUCUUAUGGAGAUAGCAGAGACACAAGAGACCAAGCUCAACUACACAAGCAUAUUUCAUGUCUCUGCUUACGUCACAUCUGUCAUUAUCCCAUUGGCCAAGAAUCCUGUUUGCAUCUGAUCUGCUCACUGCAAUAUAACACGUGCAUAAAACAGUGCAACCGUAUUUGUUUUAAUAAGGCCAUUCUGAGCAGCUGUUUAAUGAUCCAUGAUGUUAAAUGAAAACUACAGGUGUUCCAAAUGCAAACCUUAUGGCCCAGGGCCCCCCUUAUUACCGUUCUACAAUUAGCAGCCAACUGCUCUUAGGCUGUGCAAAGAAUUACCACCAUCAUCAUUACAUUAUUUCUUAAUUUCAUUCUCUGCCUAAGUGUCUUCCCCCAAAGGAAAAACCUGCUUGGCAUGGGAAAGCAUAAGAGUGAAAAAAUGAAAAGGGAAGGAGAACACAAAACACUCCCUGUCCAACCACAAGGAGGCCUCAGUGAAGGGGGAAAGAGCCAGCCAAAAGGCUCAGCCCCCUAAGGAAUCUUCCAGAGUGACUUUCUGGCCAAACUUAACAAAGUCUUGCUGAAACUAUUGGUGUUCAUAAGGAUUGCAUUAACCCUUUCUUCUUCAUGAUUCCCUAAGCUUAAUACUGUGCUAAGCCAAAUUGCCAGAAAGCUGCAUAGCUGGAUUCCAUCGCUCUGUCUUGUAGAGGGCUAAUUUUAUGCAAGUAUAAUUUUAACAUCACAACAGUUUUCACUUAAGGUACAUAUAAUAAACUGCAAAGAAGGAAGUCUUCUGUAUCACUUGUGAAAUUGCUGUCUGUAUCAUUAUCCAUUACAUACCUCAAUACCUCUUACAUAAAAAUGCCAGAGACAAAUUUAAUUAGAGCUCGG